AGACAGAGACAGACAGAGCAUGAACAGGGAAGGGUCAGAGAGAGAGGGAGACACAGAAUCUGAAACAGGCUCCAGGCUCUGAGCUGUCAGCACAGAGCCCGACGCGGGGCUCGAACUCACGGACUGCGAGAUCAUGACCUGAGCCGAAGUCGGACGCCCAACCGACUGAGCCACCCAGGCGCCCCAAGAAAUAAAUAUUUUAAAUAUUUUUAAAAGCUUGUUCAUUUUUGAGAGCGAAAGUAUACACACACCUGAGCAGAAAUCAAGAGUCAUACGCUUAACUGACUAAACCACCCAGAAGCCCCAAGAAAUGAAAUACUUUAGUAAGUAUAACAAUUAAAAAAAACCAAAAACGAAAUUCCUAAGCUCUACAGUAGUGACUUUUCUAGCUGUAGUUUUUGGCCUACUGGAGGUAUGAAACAAUAAUCAAACUCCAUAGAGCUGCAUGCAAAAUUAUUUAAAUAUAUAUGCUUUUCUAUAAAGAGGAUUAUUGGAUUCCUCAAAGAAAUCUGUCUUUUCUAAAAGGUUAAGAACCACUGCUCUUUGGUGGUUCCCUACAUUGUCAAUACUAAUUAGUAAAGGGUGUUCCAGAAAUCCCCAAGUCCCAGUGCCCCUCUCACCAUAAAAAGAGGGUUGGGAGAGGGAAGACCAUGCUACCAAGUUUCCUUUGUGGGAAUGCAGCUUUAUUAUUCAAAAGCUUCUUAUUAACAAGCUGUUAAAACACUUAUUUACUAGUGAACUCUGUACUACUCAUAUAUUCAAGACUCAUGGCCAACAGGUUAGAGAUGGACAUUUCUGCAACAUGGAAGAAUCGAGAAUUCAGAGAAAGCGAAACGAGAUGAAAGAGAAAAAGAAUAAAGUCACUUAAAGAAACAUUAAAAUGAACUGAAGUUAUAAGGAGGGCACUAUGAAGUGACUUAAGUAAGAACAAUCUGGGGAACACUGGACAGUGUAUGAUGGGACCAUGGCAAAGCAAUGCAAAGAUGAAAAUGAGAUUACUUUGGGUCAAUCAAAGCUGCGAUAUUUAGUUCUAUUCCCUACCAUUCUCCCACAGUAGUUUCUCAUCUUUUAGGAGAGUAAAGGCCCAUUACAAAUGGAGGAGGAGGAGGUAUCAUUAUGCUUAAUCUCACACAGACAACAAUACCAAAUUAUACAAAGUUAUUACUCAGAGUUGAGAUGUUGACGUUCUCCCAUGAGUACUUUCUUUUAAAAAGAAUAAAGCUUUUCAGAUAUAGUUUAAGUUCUGCUCCUUCAAUCCUUUUCCCAUCCCACCACACCCAGACAAAGCAGUGUGUAAAAUUCCCAUACCUGUUUUAUCCUUCCACAGUGAGCUCUACUUUUUAGUACAAAAAAAUAAUGCAUCCCCAAAUAACUAUUAGUACUCUUUAAUAAUAACGACAAAAGAUACCUACAAUGCACUGUGCAGUGCCCUUGAAAAUAAUGACUUUAAAAUUUACGCAGUAAACCUAUUUGGGAGACACUUGAUUCUACAGAAAAAUACUACAUAGAGUCAUAUUCCUAAGACCCAAACACUGGAAUCCCCAGUGGUCUCCCCCUCCACUGAGCUUCUGUAAAGUUUUCUCUCUAGGAAGGCUCAUCUGAUUAUACACUGCUUUGCUUAUUUCAAAUCACAGAGAGUGCAUGGAAGACACAUGUGGAUAUCAAGUGAGAACUGAAAGAUAUUUGAGAUUUAUUCCAUAAAUGAACUGAAAUGGGAUUUGCUUCUGAACAAUAUUGAAAAGGAGAAGCAGAAGCACCUGAAAAAACAACUGGCUAUGAACUGAGAACUGCUGAAGCUGGGUGAUGGACUGUGUGUAUACUAAAAGAAAACUGACACCUAAAGGAUAUCUUUCAUGGAAUUUAGAGAAACUAAAAGGGAAGACAAAAAAGAA